UUCAGGAGAGAGAGAGAGAGGGAGAAGGAAGGAGAGGAGGGAGAAAGAGAGGAACGAGGAGAGGGAGCUGCAGCGGCGGAUGGGAGAGCAUCACCGACCAUCGCAUCUCCCCCCUCUCCCCCCUCACUUCUAGUCAACGUUGUCGUCUCCAUCCCCGCAACAUCUUCGUCACACGCAGCCGCCUCCUUCCGCACCCCUCUUCGUCGCGCACGGCAACAAAGGGAGGUCCUCUCAGGGAGUACUAAUAUUAUUCAGUUAGCAUGCUUUUCAUGGAAGAGGAGUGAGGAUGUAAAGGUAAUUAGACGGUGUAGUACUAUGGCGGUGGUAUACUGAUUUGGAGUAAUAAUUACUGACAUGACUUCGUGGGUACAAUCUUACAGGUUUAUGAUAUUAAGAAUUAGCAGCGUGUUUUUUUGUUUGCUGCUGGAUUUCCUAACAAUCUGUCUCUUCUGUUGUUAAUUGAUAUGCAGACUUGCUGUUUUUCAUUCAGUUGAAGAGCUCUCCAGGCUUAACAUCUUUCUUGCAUAAUUGUGUUGUUAAAUAUGAAGGUGUCCGAGGACGUUCAAUUCUUGUAUGCGGCGUAAAACUUGAACUACCUACAGAUGAUUUCGCCAGUUCAACGGAAACUUAGAAUAACCAAGGGAACUUUCUCAGUUUUUUUUGCUCUUCUCAGAUUUUAGGCUGGGGGUAUUAACAUAUAUGCCAACCGUAAAUUUUGAUAUUAAUGUAAGAUUAAAUAGGGAUAAAUCCUUCUGCCAUGUUGACUAAUUAGAAUUACAAAGAAGAAAAGAAAUUAUUAAAGAAGAGAUAUAGUCGAAUAGGUUGUUGUGGUGUUUCUUUGAUCUUCACUAGACCUCUCAUUUUUGAUUGGCAUGGCGAUGAUCUGUUUCUUCUGGUGUUUCUCUGCUUCAAGAUUCGCUCAUGUGCCAAAGCCAGCUCGGGGAAGCCUUCCUGGACUCCUGAUCAACCAGGACAAUCACGACACAAGCUUAAGCGAGCGGAACAUCGAAGGAGGAUCUUGGGGAUGACGGAGGCGUCGACGACAACCUCAAAGGCGAGAGAUUCUUGUACAGUGGCCCAUGGAUGAUUACCACAGCCUGCAACGACGCUGUCCACCGGCAGUUCCGGCACCAACAUGGCCGCAUGGGGACAUGCUGCCUCCCAAGGGAUACUGCAUCG